rnacentral:lncRNA from 1 species
AUUCUGGAGAAGAGCAAGACCAUAUUGAACAUUGCUGCCAGAAUAAAAAUACAUAUCCUCGGAAUCAGCGGGGAAAGAAGACCCUGUUGAGCUUGAGCUUGACUCUAGUCUGGCACGGUGAAGAGACGUGAGAGGUGUAGAAUAAGUGGGAGGCCCCCGGCGCCCCACUGUCCCCGGGAGGGGGCGGGGCGGGGUCUGCCCGCCUUGAGGGCUGCCGGUGUAAUACCACUACUCUGAUCGUUUUUUUUUCACUGACCUGGUGAGGCCGGGGGGGCGGGGGGCGAGCCCCGAGGGGCUCUAGCUUCUGGUGCCAAGCGCCUGGCCACGCGCAGCAUUCUUAUACACCAACAACAGACAAACAGA